rnacentral:rRNA from 1 species
CCCAGACUCCUACGGGAGGCAGCAGUGAGGGAUAUUGGUCAAUGGGGGAAACCCUGAUGCAGCAACGCCGCGUGGGUGAAGAAGUACUUCGGUAUGUAAAGCCCUGUCAGCAGGGAAGAAAAUGACGGUACCUGACCAAGAAGCCCCGGCUAACUACGUGCCAGCAGCCGCGGUAAUACGUAGGGGGCAAGCGUUAUCCGGAUUUACUGGGUGUAAAGGGAGCGUAGACGGCAAGGCAAGUCUGGAGUGAAAGCCCGUGGCUCAACCACGGGACUGCUUUGGAAACUGUGUUGCUGGAGUGCAGGAGGGGUAAGCGGAAUUCCUAGUGUAGCGGUGAAAUGCGUAGAUAUUAGGAGGAACACCGGUGGCGAAGGCGGCUUACUGGACUGCAACUGACGUUGAGGCUCGAAGGCGUGGGGAGCAAACAGGAUUAGAUACCCUGGUACGA